CCUGCCCCUAGAGACAUUGCAGAUAUGACUGCUAUGUGACAUGUACAUUAGUAGGUGGCAGAAAGGAGAGAGGCUGUCUAUAGAGGCUGUUCUGACCUAUGGACAUCUGAAUGAUUGGUAGCCUAACAUU